rnacentral:ncRNA from 2 species
CCAAUGCUUUAGGGGUGUUUCCCGCGGUAAUACGCGGGAGGCUGAGAAUAACCCUCAUAACCUGCUCAGGAUAAUGCCUGCGAAGGGAAAAGUAACGGAUUCCUC